CGUUAGCAGCCGAGAAGGCGCCAUCCUUUUCCCCUGCAGGGCCACAGAGACUGGAAGGUGAAACCGAACUGUAGGCGACGCCAGAGCAUCCGUUGCCCACCUGCGGAGCCAAGCGGUCCAUCAAAGCCAAUUUUGAACUUGAAUUCUGUGCGUCUGAUUGCAGAACUGUGGCGCAGUCUCCAAGCUCAGAGCACCCGGAUCUGCGACCCCCUGUGGACAAAGAUCGGCCAUACUAGGGAGACAAGCUCUCUCAUUGAAGACACCUGUUGCAGAGGCCGGACAUGAA